UCGCCCCGCGUCGUGCCUCUGUCCCAUCCCCUCCCGUGUCGAGAGAGACAGAGAGAAAGAGAUCCAUGGCGACUGAGCUGCCCUGUCCGCUUGAUUCAGAAUGGUGGUUGUCAGGCGUCCGGCGCUCUUCCUCCGGCUGCCCCGCCACCUCCUUCUCCUUCGCCUUUUCCCCCGCCAGAGGUCUGCAACAUCUCUCGGUUCCGCCCCAUCGCCGGCCCCAUUUUUCUCCGCCCGGCGUUUCUGUGCGUCGUAUUCGGUUGCAAAAGUCUCUUGCUCUUGAAUCUACGAAGAAAGCAUCAAAUGAUUCGUCAGUUAGUAAAUCUGCUGUGUGUACUCAUUCAAAAUUACAAGUAAAAGGUCAUAGCAUUUCGAGCUUCAAGUACAAAUAAAAGAUGUACACGUUCACGAGAGAGAUCUAUUUUACUCAUGCUAGAUGUAUGGCGAAUUCAAAAGAAGGGGAUGUUUACCUGUGAAUCCUUUGCUUCUUCAGCCAUGUUCUUCUUCAAGCUUGUUUCCCAGAACAUGGAGGAAACGUCAUCACUUCGUUGCUUUUCUGUCCGGGUUAGAGAAGGAGGGGGCGGACCCGUUAAGUUUCUGUUUGAUAUAUGUGGUUUGUUUAAACGAGUGAGACAGGAAAAGGUACAUACAGGGGACAAGGUACAGAAGGCAGUUGUCGCAUUACUAGUUAGCUGAAAAAUCCGGCUAAAACCCAAUUGGUUUUCAGCCGGAUGUUAAUUAAACAGUCCCUUAAUCUACCAUUACUUCUUGCAGUAAA